rnacentral:rRNA from 1 species
GCGACCCCAGGUCAGGCAGGAUUACCCGCUG